rnacentral:rRNA from 1 species
GACGAACGCUGGCGGCGUGCUUAACACAUGCAAGUCGAGCGAACAGACGAGGAGCUUGCCUCCCUGCAGUUUUCGGCGGGCAGGGGAGUGACACGUGGAAACAACCCCUCUUAGAGUGGGGUAACAUCGGUGGAAAGGACCUCAUACACGACAAUCUAUUUAAUCGCAUGAUUCAAUAGUGAAAGAAGGUUUUGCUGACACUUAUAGAUUGAUCCGAGCCGCAUUUGUUGGUUGGUAAGGUAACGGCUUACCAAGGCAACGAUGGGUACCGGACCGGGGAGGUGGAUCGGCCACACGGGAACGGAGACACGGCCAGGACUCCUACGGGAGGCAGCAGUGGGGAAUCUUCCGCAAUGGGCGAAGGCCUGACGGAGCAACGCCGCGUGAGUGAUGAAGGUCUUCGGAUCGUAAAACUCUGUUAUUAGGGAAGAACAAAUGUGUAAGUAACUAUGCACGUCUUGACGGUACCGGAUCAGAAAGCCACGGCUAACUACGUG